rnacentral:rRNA from 1 species
AACGAACGCUGGCGGCAUGCCUAACACAUGCAAGUCGAACGAGACCUUCGGGUCUAGUGGCGCACGGGUGCGUAACGCGUGGGAACCUGCCCUUAGGUUCGGAAUAACUCUCCGAAAGGGGUGCUAAUACCGGACAAUGUCUUCGGACCAAAGAUUUAUCGCCUUUGGAUGGGCCCGCGUUGGAUUAGCUCGUUGGUAGGGUAAAAGCCUACCAAGGCGACGAUCCAUAGCUGGUCUGAGAGGAUGAUCAGCCACACUGAGACUGAGACACGGCCCAGACUCCUACGGGAGGCAGCAGUGGGGAAUAUUGGACAAUGGGCGAAAGCCUGAUCCAGCAAUGCCGCGUAAGUGAUGAAGGCCUUAGGGUUGUAAAGCUCUUUUAACCGGGAUGAUAAUGACAGUACCGGGAGAAUAAGCUCCGGCUAACUCCGUG